rnacentral:rRNA from 1 species
ACUGCUAUCGGGGUGGGACUAAAACAUGCAAGUCGAGCGCCUCCAAGCUAUGGUGAAGGCGCGGCAUACGGCUCAGUAACACGUGGCCAACCUGCCCUUGGGACGGAGACAACCCCGGGAAACUGGGGCUAAUCCCCGAUAGGUAAGGAAUCUUGGAAUGGAUCUUUACUGAAAAGGCGUCUAGACCAUGCUUCUUGACAUCGCCCAAGGAUGGAGCCGCGACCGAUCAGGUAGUUGGCGAGGCAACGGCUCACCAAGCCUAUAACCGGUACGGGCCGUGAGGGCGGGAGCCCGGAGAUGGGCACUGAGACAAGGGCCCAGGCCCUACGGGGCGCAGCAGUUGCGAGAACUCCACAAUGCACGAAAGUGCGAUGGGGCUACCCCGAGUGCCGUCCGCUGAGGACGGCUUUUCCAUGGUGUAAGGAGCCGUGGGAAUAAGGAGAGGGCAAGACUGGUGUCAGCCGCCGCGGUAAUACCAGCUCUCCGAGUGGUGAGGACGAUUAUUGGGCUUAAAGCGUUCGUAGCCGGCUUAACAAGUCUUCCGUUAAAUCCAACGAUCUAAUCGUUGGGCCGCGGAAGAUACUGUUGGGCUAGGAGGCGGGAGAAGCCGACGGUAUUCUCGGGGUAGGGGUGAAAUCCUGUAACCCCGGGAGGACCACCAGUGGCGAAGGCGGUCGGCUAGAACGCGCUCGACGGUGAGGGACGAAAGCUGGGGGAGCGAACCGGAUUAGAAACCCGGAUAGUCCCAGCUGUAAACGAUGCGGGCUAGGUGUUGGGGUGGCCACGAGCCACCUCAGUGCCGCAUGGAAGCAAUUAAGCCCGCCGCCUGGGGAGUACGGCCACAAGGCUGAAACUUAAAGGAAUUGGCGGGGGAGCACCACAAGGCGUGAAG